GUUCCUUAAUAGGGACUUGUAUGAAUGGCUUAACGAGGGUUUAACUGUCUCUUACUUCCAAUCAGUGAAAUUGACCUUUCCGUGAAGAGGCGGAAAUAACUAAAUAAGACGAGAAGACCCUAUGGAGCUUAAAUUUACUAGUCUAAGCAAUCUAAUACCACAAUCCUCUGGGACACAAAACAUAACUUCUAGACUAUACAUUUUGGUUGGGGUGACCUCGGAGUAAAAAAGAACCUCCGAAUGAUCUUAAUCCAGACAUAACCUGUCUAAAUUUCUACUCAUUAAUUGACCCAAAUUUAUUGAUCAACGGAACAAGUUACCCUAGGGAUAAC
rnacentral:rRNA from 1 species